ensembl:lncRNA
UUUGGCAAAUUUGCUCCCUCCCCAUUCCUGAUGAUUUCAACAGAUCUCCUAUGUCUGAAACUGUCUUAUUUUGUUUUGUUUAAUCCAGCUUUUCUAGUUGUUUCUAGCUAGAGAGUGGUCUGCUGCAAACUAGUUCAUCAUAAACAGAAGCAAAACCUUACAUUGUUUUUAAAAUUGGUUCUGAGUGGUCCUUGCCAUGGAACAGAAGAAGAGCUACUGGAACAUACAUCCUCUGGGGGUUCUCUGGAUGCUCUUGAAACAUAAAAUGAAAAGCAUACAACAAACUUGGAAAGGUCUCCAUUUUUAAUUAGAAUAUAUGAUUAGAAAAAGGAAAAAGCCUCGCCUGAAAGCCAACGUGUGGCAAGAGAAAGAGAGAGAAAGAGACUGGAUGAAUAUUAUGGAAGAGUUAGACCUUCUAUGGAUGUACCACCAGGACCUGUUUUAAAAUAUCCAUUCUAGUGGAUACAAGAGGACCCCCAUGUGUCUCAGUGUCUGUGCUGAUCUAUGCCAUGGAGUUCUUGCUUCCAACAUUUUGAAAUCCCAAAACAAAAUAUUUGACCAGAUCUCAGAAGACAAAAGUGGAAGAAGGCUGAUAAUACCAAAUGUCGUAAAGAUGUGGAGCAACUGGAACUUUCACAUAAUGCUUAUAGGAAAGUUGAAAAUACUUUUGGACCUAGAAAUUUCCCUUCUAGGUAAGUAUUCAAAUGAAUUGGAUGCACACAUACACCAAAAUUAUGUACAAAAGAAUGUUCAUAGUAGUAUUAGUCAUAAUAGUCCUAAACUGGAAACAACCCAAAUGUUCAUCAAUUGUAGAAUGGAAAAACAUUUGAGAGUGUAUUCUUAAUGGCAUAUCAAAUGAUUAACCACACUUACAUG